rnacentral:rRNA from 1 species
GAUGAACGCUGGCGGCGUGCCUAAUACAUGCAAGUCGAGCGAACGGACGAGAAGCUUGCUUCUCUGAUGUUAGCGGCGGACGGGUGAGUAACACGUGGAUAACCUACCUAUAAGACUGGGAUAACUUCGGGAAACCGGAGCUAAUACCGGAUGAUAUUUUGAACCGCAUGGUUCAAAAGUGAAAGACGGUCUUGCUGUCACUUAUAGAUGGAUCCGCGUUGCAUUAGCUAGUUGGUAAGGUAACGGCUUACCAAGGCAACGAUGCAUAGCUGACCUGAGAGGAUGAUCAGCCACACUGGAACUGAGACACGGUCCAGACUCCUACGGGAGGCAGCAGUGGGGAAUCUUCGGCAAAGGGCGAAAGCCUGACGCAGCAACGCCGCGUGAGUGAUGAAGGUCUUCGGAUUGUAAAGCUCUUUUGUUAGGGAAGAACAGAUGUGGGUUAAACUGUGCACGUCCUGACGGUACCUAAUGAAUAAGCCACGGCUAACUACGUG